rnacentral:tRNA from 1 species
AUCUGGGUGGCUCAGUUGGUAGAGUAUCUGACUCUCGAUCUCAGGGUUGUGAGUUCAAGCCCCACAUUGGAUG